rnacentral:rRNA from 1 species
AUUGAACGCUGGCGGCAUGCCUUACACAUGCAAGUCGAACGGCAGCAUAGAGAGCUUGCUCUCUGAUGGCGAGUGGCGAACGGGUGAGUAAUGCAUCGGAACGUACCGUGUAAUGGGGGAUAACGUAGCGAAAGUUACGCUAAUACCGCAUACGACCUGAGGGUGAAAGCAGGGGAUCGCAAGACCUUGCGUUAUACGAGCGGCCGAUGUCAGAUUAGCUAGUUGGUGAGGUAAAGGCUCACCAAGGCGACGAUCUGUAGCGGGUCUGAGAGGUUGAGCCGCCACACUGGGACUGAGACACGGCCCAGACUCCUACGGGAGGCAGCAGUGGGGAAUUUUGGACAAUGGGGGCAACCCUGAUCCAGCCAUGCCGCGUGAGUGAAGAAGGCCUUCGGGUUGUAAAGCUCUUUCGGCCGGGAAGAAAUCGCACAGGCUAAUACUCUGUGUGGAUGACGGUACCGGCAUAAGAAGCACCGGCUAACUACGUGCCAGCCGCCGCGGUAA